GCCCGCUCAGAAACUUAAAGGAAUUGACGGGGGCCCGCACAAGCGGCGGAGCAUGUGGAUUAAUUCGAUGCAACGCGAAGAACCUUACCUGGGUUUGACAUACACCGGAAAACCGUAGAGAUACGGUCCCCCUUGUGGUCGGUGUACAGGUGGUGCAUGGCUGUCGUCAGCUCGUGUCGUGAGAUGUUGGGUUAAGUCCCGCAACGAGCGCAACCCUUGUCUUAUGUUGCCAGCACGUGAUGGUGGGGACUCGUAAGAGACUGCCGGGGUCAACUCGGAGGAAGGUGGGGACGACGUCAAGUCAUCAUGCCCCUUAUGUCCAGGGCUUCACACAUGCUACAAUGGCCAGUACAGAGGGCUGCGAGACCGUGAGGUGGAGCGAAUCCCUUAAAGCUGGUCUCAGUUCGGAUCGGGGUCUGCAACUCGACCCCGUGAAGUCGGAGUCGCUAGUAAUCGCAGAUCAGCAACGCUGCGGUGAAUACGUUCCCGGGCCUU
rnacentral:rRNA from 1 species